UACAGAGGUCUCGAGCGUUAGGCGGAAUCACUGGGCUUAAAGCGUGUGUAGGCGGAUCGUUAAGUGCCUUGUGAAAUCCCACGGCUUAACCGUGGAACUGCUUGGCAUACUGGCGGUCUUGAGCAACCUAGGGGCGAGCGGAACAAAUGGUGAAGCGGUGAAAUGCGUAGAUAUCAUUUGGAACGCCAAUGGUGAAAACAGCUCGCUGGGGGUUUGCUGACGCUGAGACACGAAAGCCAGGGGAGCAAACGGGG
rnacentral:rRNA from 1 species